AAGGAGGUGUGGUGCUGCUGCUGCUGCAGAAAUGCAGACUGGGGGGUGGGUGGGGGGAGGAUGAUAGAUCAACCCAGUAUUACAAAGUGGGGAAACACAAAACUGGUACAUAGGGGCAUACUCGCUCAUUUCCCGAUCUCUGUAAUCUACUCACCCCUAGUGUAUUUUGUUCAGCUUUCUCUGAAAGGCUGUGUAGUUCUCCCUUUUAUCCUUUGAAGUAGGUGAAACUGAAAGGGAAUGACUAGCCCAGGGCCCAUGGGCCAGUGAUGGCAGAAUGGGGAUUUGGGUCUGGCUCUUCCUAGCUCCUCCACUGAUGCAUUGCGUUGGUUCUUUGCUGGUUUCAUGGGGUGGAGGAGCCUUCUCCUUCUAUGUCUGGCAUGCCGCAGUGUUAUCGCUGUGGUUCUUGAAACUUUAGCGACCCAAAUUGAUUUAAUACGUCCUGCAUGGUGUGGUGGUUAAGAGUGGUGGACUCUCAUCUAGAGAACCAGUUCGAUUCCCCGCUCCUCCACCUCCUGCUGGGUGACCUUGGCCUACUCACACUUCUCUCAGAGCUCUCUUAACCCCAUGUUGUGGGGAGAGGAAAUAUUGUAAGCCACUCUGAGACCCCUUAAAGGUAGAGAAUAGGGGGGUACAAAACCAGCUGUUCGAAGUCUCAUGGGUUCGAUUCCCAAGCCCUCCUCCCUUGCUGAUGCCCACCAUUCAUCCCCCUUGUCAAAGUUGUGCAUCCCCCAUGGGGGUGUCUGUGCCUCAUAUCCCCCAGACAGCCCCAAAAGGACCAUAUCAGCUAUCCUUUAAAAGCAAGUUUAAGCAAAACCUUUGUAUGGUUCUCAGAGACUAGCCAAAGGCUCACAGUGGGGAAAGAACCUGACUUCAAUGUAUUGCCGAAGGCUUUCACGGCCGGACUCAAUUGGUUGUUGUGGGCUUUCCGGGCUGUGUGGCCGUGAUCUGGUAGGUCUUGUUCUUAACAUUUCGCCUGCAUCUGUGGCACAGAUCAGGUGAAAUGUUAACAACAAGAUGUACCAGAUCACGGCCACAUAGCCUGGAAAGCCCACAAUUAACCUGACUUCAGUUCUGAUCCAUCUCAUCCCUUGACUGGAAGAUAUAUCCUUCUUGGUGAAUCACAUCUAGGUAGCAGACUUUCAGAGCUGUUCCUAGAAACAGAAGAGAGCCAGUUUGAUUUUACAAUGGAAAUAACUAUAUUGACACUGUUGAGACUAUAUCCUGGCCUAUCUCAUAACCACUUAAAAGUUCAUAAGGUUAGUUCUAAGUGAACAUUCUACUCAUUUUGUGCCGAGUGUUUUGAUGCGGGUGGGAUGCUGGCUUUUAUCUCUUCAAAUGAGGGGAUAGUUUUCACAGUAGACGGAUGGGUUCAAAGCUGCUUCAACCUAUAAACUUUCAGCCCACUACCCUUGCUGAACCCUGAAGGAUUCUUGGUCCCCACUUUGACAAAUUGUGCCUUCGAUACAUCCCUGCUGAUGGUCCAAACCCAGUUAAGUGUUUUCACGUCUGAUAGGGUUUUUUCAGACUGAUUGAAGCAUUGAAGGCCAUGAUUGAAGUGAAUGAACUGUACAACUGACCACAACCUAGCCACUGGGAAGCAAUGUACCCAGUUGCUGGUACAGGGAAAAAAUGGGGAGGGCAUAGCCAUCUAACAGAUACCCUUUCUGUGCCAAAAAUAACACCGCACAGGAUACAUUAGUGCUGCUGCAUGCAAAUCAAGCUGUCUCUCAGUGUGCACCUGCAGCAUGUUCCAGAAGUACAAGAAUGCAUAACGCAAAUGUCCAGUGUUAAAAUGCUAA